GACGAACGCUGGCGGCGUGCCUAACACAUGCAAGUCGAACGGAGAAUUAGCAAUAAUUCUUAGUGGCGAACGGGUGAGUAACGCGUGGACAACCUACCCUUUAGAUGGGGACAACACCGCGAAAGUGGUGCUAAUACCGAAUAUUGCUUGAGAAGCGCAUGCUUUUCAAACUAAAGAUGGCCUCUAUUUAUAAGCUAUCGCUAAAGAAUGGGUCUGCGUCUGAUUAGCUAGUUGGUGAGAUAAAAGCUCACCAAGGCAACGAUCAGUAGCCGGGCUGAGAGGAUGAACGGCCACACUGGGACUGAGACACGGCCCAGACUCCUACGGGAGGCAGCAGUGGGGAAUCUUCCGCAAUGGACGAAAGUCUGACGGAGCAACGCCGCGUGAGUGAUGAAGGUUUUCGGAUCGUAAAACUCUGUUGUUAAGGACGAAUGUAUAGAUUGUGAAUAAUGGUUUAUAAUGACGGUACUUAACGAGGAAGCCACGGCUAACUACGUGCCAGCCGCCGCGGUAA
rnacentral:rRNA from 1 species